GACGUAGGGCGCGAGCGUUGUCCGGAUUUAUUGGGCGUAAAGAGCUCGUAGGCGGCUUGUUGCGUCAGCUGUGAAAAACCCGCAGCUCAACUGUGGGCUUGCAGCUGAUACGGGCAGGCUUGAGUUCGGUAGGGGAGACUGGAAUUCCUGGUGUAGCGGUGAAAUGCGCAGAUAUCAGGAGGAACACCGGUGGCGAAGGCGGCUCACUGGCUCGUAUCUGACGCUCAGGCGCGACAGCGUGGGGAUCAAACAGG
rnacentral:rRNA from 1 species